GAUUUCAGAGAGAGCAUCCUGACUGGAGGACAAGUGAGGUCGGCCUGCCUGCGCCUUCUCUUUCACUUUCCUUUCAGCUUUGAGCCUCACGUCCUCCUCAGGACGCCCCAUCAGACUGAAGGGGGUUUGAAUCCCAAGCAGCCCAAGUUCCUGCUUGAGAUGGUGGCGGAGGAACUUCACGACGACCAUGGAAAGGAUGAGGAGAGCGAGCACUCCGCCCACCGACGCCCCGAUCGCAACCGCAAUCGUGGAGUCUCUCGGCGGCGGCACUGAGGGGAAAGGAUGAGGAAGAGCGGUUCCCCGCGAACGUGACCCGGUCGGCGAACGGGACCCUGUCUGGCAGCGUGACCCGGUCUGCAAAGCGCCGGGCCAUCAUUCCUUUCUUCUGGUUGUACACCAUAAACUACGGAGAGAAGUUAAGAAAGAGACGGUUUACAGUAAGUAGGGUUCGAACCUUGCCUAUGACAUUCUUACCAUUUUUUCCGUGUCGUUGACCGUUUCUUGGUAGGUCCAGUUCAUGACGAACUUGGGCGGGUAUAUCUUAUAGCAGGAAGUGAAAGUGCAGGGGAUUUUGAUAUCGGUCCCAUUCUUUACGUUGAUUUUACUGGGCACAAUGACGUCCAUGCAUAGAGAACCUGCAAGGAAAAACAUUUCGUUACUAGCUGAGAGAUUAAACUGCCGGUAAUCUAAACCCAGCAGACACAAGACAUCGAUACAACGUUGAUUACACACAUACAUGUCCUUUAAAACGGACUUUGAAACAAGGUGGCCAAAUAGUUGUAUUUGUAAAUUGAGACAACGUUGGAUCCAUCUUGUUGGUUGGGAAAUGACCAAAUUUCAAUGCUUAAAAUCAACGUCGCUGUGGAAGACUUGCUUUUCCGUGUUCUUCAGACCACCAAUCACUGACAUGACAGCUUCCUUCAUAGUUCUGAACAAUGAUUUACCGUAUUUCCUUGAAUAGUAUGCGCCUGCCUAGAAUUACUGCGGGGUCAAACUCGUUUCGCAAAAUAUUAUUUCUAUUAGCGCAUGUCUAGAAUUUCCGCAGGGUUAAACGCGUUUCGCCAAAUAAUUAGCAUAUGCCUAGAAUUUCCACCGGGUCAAACUCGUCACGUCACGAGUGACACUUCACCUGUCGUAAUUUUCAAAAUGGAUGAGGCUGAUUUCAACAAUUUGAAAUCGCAUAAAGGGAAGAAGAUUAAGAGCUAUUCAGUAGGAUUUAAGGUCCAAGCUAUGGAAUAUGCUAAAAAGAACAGUAAGCAGCUAUGUUUUAUUAAUAUACCGUAGCUGCGUGUGUCAAAUAGGAGUCGUUAAAUGACUCCCACGUCUUGGUGGUAGAGGACGCUAGUGAUCCUUCUUGCGACUACUCGGCUGCAGAAGAAGUGACAAUGAGCAGCAAUCGUUUAUUUUUUCCUAUCGCUUGCACUUUUAACAUGGAGGAUUACAAAUCUAAAAUAAAACAGUUUUCUAAACUGGACUUUCAAUCGAAGCAGGAGGUAAUAAUAGAAGAUCUCCAUCGAUACAGAGAGACUUUUAAAACUGAAGAAAGAUAAGGAAGACUUCUAUAAACAAGUUAUCGAUGCUUUUGAUCAGAAAGAGCUGCGCAUGGACUUCAUUUAUAAGUAAAGGUAAGACCAUAAUAACGUUUUUUUUUUAAUUAAAUGUGCUUUUCAUGAUGGUAUCCUUACAUCACACUCAAAUUUAUAAGCGCAAGCCUAAAUUUACCGCAUGCCUUUAGUAAGCGCCAGAGUGAAAAGAGGUUUUAAAAUAAUUAGCGCUCCGGCGGCAAUUCAAGGAAAUACGGUCCAUCCAUCCAUUUUCUACCGCUUAUUCCCUUUUUGGGAUAGCAGGGGGCACUGGCGCCUAUCUCAGCUACAAUCGGGCGGAAGGCGGGGUACACCCUGGACAAGUCGCCAACUCAUCGCAGGGCCAGGAUAUUUUUCAAUAAAUGUUCUUUGUGUUCCUUUUCAGUCAUUGCGUUACGUGUCAGUCCUCGUUCUCUCUCAUGCUUGUAAGCAUGUACUCGUUCCCCAUCAUCUACAACCCUCUCCUUCCCGGCUGCUGCUCCUUAACAGAGCGGCCGGUGAUUAGAUAAACCGGCCCAAGUGUGCCAUCUACGCACCAGUCGUUAAUCUCAAAACCGGCCCUGGCACAACUUGUUUCGCUGCAGGUACGCAGGCCACGCCCCCCCACCAUCCCACAGUCACAACCUGACAUUGAAUAAACAUGGUCAAAAAGCAUGUUGUUUCAACGUUGUAUUUGCGUUGUAGAAUAUUGGUUAGGAAAUUACCAAAAUUCAAUGGUCAAAUCAACGCCACAAACUGACAUUGAAUAAACGUUGACAAAAAGCAUGUUGUUUUAACGUUGUAUUUGCGUUAGAAAAUGACAACAAUUCAAUGGUCAAAUCAACUUCCGAAC